AAUUAAAAAUUUUAUCUAUUAGUACUGAUAAAUUUUGAUGUGGAUGAUAAAGUAACCAGAUAAUGGCAUGUGGCAUGCCAUGUGCAUUUUAUGUUGACAUAUGAGAUCUAAUUUUUAACAACAGAAAUAGAUUAAUUUUUUAACA
rfam:Gossypium raimondii Chr08_contig_1301, whole genome shotgun sequence.